rnacentral:rRNA from 1 species
AUAAUGGGUCAGCGACUUAUAUUCUGUAGCAAGGUUAACCGAAUAGGGGAGCCGAAGGGAAACCGAGUCUUAACUGGGCGUUAAGUUGCAGGGUAUAGACCCGAAACCCGGUGAUCUAGCCAUGGGCAGGUUGAAGGUUGGGUAACACUAACUGGAGGACCGAACCGACUAAUGUUGAAAAAUUAGCGGAUGACUUGUGGCUGGGGGUGAAAGGCCAAUCAAACCGGGAGAUAGCUGGUUCUCCCCGAAAGCUAUUUAGGUAGCGCCUCGUGAAUUCAUCUCCGGGGGUAGAGCACUGUUUCGGCAAGGGGGUCAUCCCGACUUACCAACCCGAUGCAAACUGCGAAUACCGGAGAAUGUUAUCACGGGAGACACACGGCGGGUGCUAACGUCCGUCGUGAAGAGGGAAACAACCCAGACCGCCAGCUAAGGUCCCAAAGUCAUGGUUAAGUGGGAAACGAUGUGGGAAGGCCCAGACAGCCAGGAUGUUGGCUUAGAAGCAGCCAUCAUUUAAAGAAAGCGUAAUAGCUCACUGGUCGAGUCGGCCUGCGCGGAAGAUGUAACGGGGCUAAACCAUGCACCGAAGCUGCGGCAGCGACGCUGAUGCGUUGUUGGGUAGGGGAGCGUUCUGUAAGCCUGCGAAGGUGUGCUGUGAGGCAUGCUGGAGGUAUCAGAAGUGCGAAUGCUGA